rnacentral:piRNA from 1 species
UAAGUGUGAUUAGAUCAGUUGAUGAGUC